rnacentral:tRNA from 1 species
GGAAUUGUAGUCAACCAUGACAUAUGAUUUGCAUUCAUAAGGUGUUUUUAACCUAUUUCA